CCCAAGCGUUACUGCUCCAUCCCCUGUCUGUAUCCUCUAGUUCUUGGAUCAUGGAAGUAUGUUAUUUAUAAACCAUCACAAUUCCCCAUCCGGUACAUAUUUUGGUUAGAGGGAGGAGGGAGUCGAGUAAAACAGAUGUCUCCUUUUCCUUGACUUGAUGUAAGAUGAUGCUGUACUUGCAUCAUAUUUCCCAUGGAUUUUUCUAGAAUUCUUC